GCCGAGGUGUGUCCGCGGGCCUGGGAGGUACCCACCCCCCUUCCCGCCGCCAGCGGGGCCAGGCCCCGCUGCUGUGGUGCGCGGGGGUGGGGGUGUGCCGUUACCAUGGCAAGGGCGGCCGCGUGGGUCUCUCCUGGCCCCACGCCCUGACCGAUGGACCCAGCUUGGUCUUGCUGAACCAACCACAGGGCAGCCGCCAGGAAGUAACCGGUGUUUUGUGGAAGGCACAAAACGACGCCCCCUUUGGGCAAGAGGGUUCCCCUUUUCUGUUCGGCGAAGGAAAGCAACCAGGGAGUCUGCAGAGGAUAGACAUUGGAGCGUUCGGCCACCACCCAGUCUCCUGCCGUUCCUUCCUGCUCUUCCCUGCGGGGCUCGAGUAAAGCUUCGCGCCUCCCGCAGUCCGACUACUCACAUCUGGCCGGCAGCUGGGAACCACCCACCACAAACUACUGAGGACACGGCGCCCUCUGUUGGUGCUGAGUAGUGACGCACCAGGUGCUGUGUCGUGCGCCUCUGCGGCAGAGGGUCCAGGGUUUCGCUCUCGAUCCAAGGGUCUCGGGUCCACUCAUUCGGUAUCCUUUGCUUGCGGAAAACCUCCACCCUCUGACUCGCGUAGCUCAAAAUCGUACUGUGAGGGCCCUUAGCUUUCUGCCUGUCCCAAUCGAUCUUGCCAAUCCUCUCUUCUGCAUGCACGUGUGCCUAAAACCCAGUCCAGGACCAAGCUUCUCCUUAUCUCACAAGGUCACAAGCUCUGACUUCAGGUUCUGAGACCUGUCCUUCCACGCCCCACGAUCACUCAGUGCUGAACGUGAAAGUCCUAAAUAAAGAACACUGUUACAUAAAUAA